rnacentral:rRNA from 1 species
GAUGAACGCUGGCGGCGUGCUUAACACAUGCAAGUCGAGCGGAGAUAUUAAAAGGAAGCCCUUCGGGGUGGAAUUUUUACAUCUUAGCGGCGGACGGGUGCGUAACACGUGGGUAACCUGCCCCUAUCACUGGGAUAACACACUGAAAAGUGUGCUAAUACCAGAUAAUAUAAGCUUUUGGCAUCAUUAGCUUAUCAAAGAAUUUCGGAUAGGGAUGGGCCCGCGUCUGAUUAGCUAGUUGGUGAGGUAACGGCUCACCAAGGCAACGAAUCAGUAGCCGACCUGAGAGGGUGAUCGGCCACACUGGAACUGAGACACGGUCCAGACUCCUACGGGAGGCAGCAGUGGGGAAUAUUGCACAAUGGGCGAAAGCCUGAUGCAGCAACGCCGCGUGAGCGAUGAAGGC